UACGUAGGAUCCAAGCGUUGUCCGGAUUUACUGGGCGUAAAGGGUGCGCAGGCGGACUGAUAAGUCAGGAGUGAAAUCUCGGCGCUUAACGCCGAAACGUCUUUUGAUACUGUUGGUCUUGAAUUAGAGAGAGAUUCGUGGAAUUCCGAGUGUAGCAGUGAAAUGUGUAGAUAUUCGGAAGAACACCAGUGGCGAAGGCAGCGAAUUGGCUCUAUAUUGACGCUCAGGCACGAAAGCAUGGGGAUCAAACAGG
rnacentral:rRNA from 1 species